GACGAACGCUGGCGGCGUGCUUAACACAUGCAAGUCGAACGGAAAGGCCCUGCUUUUGUGGGGUGCUCGAGUGGCGAACGGGUGAGUAACACGUGAGUAACCUGCCCUUGACUUUGGGAUAACUUCAGGAAACUGGGGCUAAUACCGGAUAGGAGCUCCUGCUGCAUGGUGGGGGUUGGAAAGUUUCGGCGGUUGGGGAUGGACUCGCGGCUUAUCAGCUUGUUGGUGGGGUAGUGGCUUACCAAGGCUUUGACGGGUAGCCGGCCUGAGAGGGUGACCGGGCACAUUGGGACUGAGAUACGGCCCAGACUACUACGGGAGGCAGCAGUGGGGAAUAUUGCACAAUGGGCGGAAGCCUGAUGCAGCAACGCCGCGUGCGGGAUGACGGCCUUCGGGUUGUAAACCGCUUUCGCCUGUGACGAAGCGUGAGUGACGGUAAUGGGUAAAGAAGCACCGGCUAACUACGUG
rnacentral:rRNA from 1 species